rnacentral:rRNA from 1 species
UGGGGAAUUUUGGACAAUGGGCGAAAGCCUGAUCCAGCAAUGCCGCGUGUGUGAAGAAGGCCUUCGGGUUGUAAAGCACUUUUGUCCGGAAAGAAAUCCUUGGCUCUAAUACAGUCGGGGGAUGACGGUACCGGAAGAAUAAGCACCGGCUAACUACGUGCCAGCAGCCGCGGUAAUACGUAGGGUGCAAGCGUUAAUCGGAAUUACUGGGCGUAAAGCGUGCGCAGGCGGUUUGCUAAGACCGAUGUGAAAUCCCCGGGCUCAACCUGGGAACUGCAUUGGUGACUGGCAAGCUAGAGUAUGGCAGAGGGGGGUAGAAUUCCACGUGUAGCAGUGAAAUGCGUAGAGAUGUGGAGGAGUACCGAUGGCGAAGGCAGCCCCCUGGGCCAAUACUGACGCUCAUGCACGAAAGCGUGGGGAGCAAACAGGAUUAGAUACCCUGGUAGUCCACGCCCUAAACGAUGUCAACUAGUUGUUGGGGAUUCAUUUCCUUAGUAACGUAGCUAACGCGUGAAGUUGACCGCCUGGGGAGUACGGUCGCAAGAUUAAAACUUAAAUGAAUUGACGGGGUCAUAGCUGUUUCCU